UCAGCAGCCAUCAUUAUUUUUAAACCUGUUUUGAAAACCUUACAAUGAUAUUACACCAUGGAGACACACGAGGGCGCGCCAGGCAUCUAUUUAAAAUGUGUUUUCAUAGCUUUUCUUGAAGGAUGUAAUUUUGAGUGUGUACAGGAAACGGGGGGCCGCAGGGGAGUCUUAAGGGUCCCCUGUGAGUGACAAGGGCAAGUCUUAUUUCCAGCUUGGUCCAGUCUGCCAGCCUUGUCAAUGAAAUACCAGGAUUCCCUUCCUGAAUGCUCCAUAGUGGAAUCAGGGAUGUCAUAUAAAAGACACAUCGCUUGCAGCCUGUGGGGGCGGGUUUCCUUCUUGCAGCAGAAUGCUUCUGAGAUUCAUCCGUGUUGUCCGUCGGUAGAUGGUCUGCUCCUUUUGAUUGCUGACUCGUACGUAAUUUAUCCUAUGAAUGAAUGAGCCACCGUUUGAUCCAUUCCCCAGGUUACACACCAGGAGUGGGACUGCAGGAUCGUACGAGUGUGUGUUUAACAUCAUGGGAAACUGCCAUGCCGUUUUUCAGAGCGGCUGCACCAUUUCACAUUCCCACUAGUGACGUAGGAGCCUGAUAGCUGCUCUGCAUUCCCACAUCUGCUUUUUCUCAUCAUUGAAUUUCUACCAUCAAGCAUAGAACAUGGCACUGGUAAGUGCUCAACAAAUAUGCACAUAGUAAGUACACAGAAAUAUGCGUACCUACUAUGUGCACAUAAACGGAUAGUAGAGGCUAUCACAGAGUGGGAUCAGGAGGAUGAAGUAGGGUAAAGUGUACAGAGUGCUUGGCACAGUGCCUGGCCCUUAGUCCCUGAGGAUCUUUGCUGGCAGCAGAGGCCACUCUCCCCAGGGGAGGGCCACAGGGCAGGGGCCUUAGUUCCAGCCACAGAGAGACUGCCUAGCAGAACCCUCCUCUAUGUUAAUCUCUGGCUCCCUGAGUUCUAGGUUUUGGGGAUAGGAAGAUCUUCUCUCCCCAGGAACUGAGGAGGUAAGAAUCCACCCCCGUCCCAGCCCCAGCAAGACCCCCAGGGCCGCAAGCACUUCCUGAGCUUCUCUGUGCCCCCCUCCAGCCAGCCUAGAAGAAAACCGGGAGACCUGGCUCCGGCUGUGUUUUCCUUGCCUCCGCACUCUCGAAUGGGAGGCCCACAGGCCAAGGAAUGGAGUAAGUCUGUUUUCCUAGCUGGCCUUGUCCCCUCAAGGGGACACCAGUGCCUCCACGUUGCUGAGGUUUCUCCCACUUUAGCCAAGCUCUCUGCCUGCCCUUGUCCACCCCCACUGGGGGCCUGUUUGCCAGAAUCUUUCAGCACCUCUUCUCUUUCACAAUCAAUCUGACCCUUUUUGCUAUUGUUUUUGUAGGUUAAUUGAAUACGUUCUCCUCUCGGUGGAGACAGCAGGCAGGGCCAAGCACAACAGGCCCAGUGCGAAGGGGGCUUGGGAGGCCCAUCCCACCUCG
rnacentral:lncRNA from 13 species